AGGGAGGAGAAGCCGAUUCGAACGCCUGUGUUGGAGGUGCUUUACUGGGAUGUAAACUAGGUAUGUCUGCUUUACCAGAAUCAUGGUUGACGAAACUUUUACACAAGGACUGGUUGGAUAAUGAGAUUAAAAAGUAAGUGUACUGUAUCUUCACUUUAUAUAUAUUUUUUUUAUUGUUUAAAUUUCAAUACAUUCGUUAUACUGAACCUGUUUAAAAUCUUAAGAAUAUAACACGUAUCAUUGCAAAAAAAUCCAAAGUUUAUAUUAAAAAAAAUUAUAGUCGCUUUAUCAUGUAAUAUUUUUUCACAAGAUAUCCAGCAUGUCUUCUAUAGUGUUUGAAUCUAACUAUUGCAGCAAAAUCGAUAACAAAGUAUCAAAUACAAGAUUAAAAUCCCAAAUCCGAAAGUAAGUGCAAAAUUAAGUUUAGACCAUAUGUGCUAGGGGUAGAACAAUCUUAAUAUUCAAAUUAAUAUAACAUUUUAUGAACAAAAUUUACAGAAAAAUGACCAUAACAAUGACAUUUCCUGUAAGCAUUUAUUUGUACGCUUACUAUAAGGUUGGUGAUUCCCUCUGAAACGAACCGUCAAUCAGGUUGAACCAGCAGUGGUAACAAUUGUAUUAGUAUUGGUUGUUAAAGCUAACCAAGAUACCAAGUUUUACAUUGUGCACGCCUUAUGCAAAUUUUUAUGACCCCAUCGUAGCGGAGGGGGCAUUAAGUUUCACCCUUGUCCGUCUGUACGUCCGUCCUUCCUUCCGUCCGUCUGUCCCGCUUCAAGUUAAAGUUUUUGGUCAAGGUAGUUUUUGAUGAAGUUGAAGUUCAAUCAACUUGAGACUUAGUAUACAUGUUUCCCUAUGAUAGGAUCUUUCAAAUUUAAUACCAAAUUAGAGUUUUUACCCCAAUUUCACGGUCCACUAAAUAUCGUCCGCAUAUUUCCAAAAUGUUCACGUACAUUGAUGACGUAAUGUGUUAAAACAGUUAUUAGCCAAUCAAAUCGGUAUACAUGGUUUGAUCUGCGCGGCUCGGUAUGAUUCUUUAACCCGAACUCCUGCGUCCUUCUGGUUAAUUAGGGUCACUCGAGUCGUGCAGAAUAAAUCAUAUAUACUGACUUGCUUGGUCAAUAACUAUAACAUACAUAUACAAAUAAGAAUGUGUCCAUAGUACACGGAUGCCCAUCCGCACUAUCAUUUGCUAUGUUCAGUGGACCGUGAAAAUGGGGUAGAAAAUCUAAUGUUGCCUUACUAUUAGAAAGAUCAUAUCACAGGGCUAAUGUGUACUAAGUUUCAAGUUGAUAACACUUCAAUUUCAUCAAAAACUUCCUCGACCAAAAACUUUAUACCGAAGCGGGACAGACGGACGGACGAACGAACGAAAGGACAACGGACGGACAACGACGUACGAACAAACGGAUGCACAGACCAGAAAACAUAAUGGAAUACAUUUUAUAAAUCAUUAUGACUAUAGGAUAGUUCCACAAAGUUUGGUGUUCGGGCUCAGGGCAAGACGAACGUUCCUUUUGCCUUUAUCCUAUAUCCACACCCUCCAAUGCUCAUAUACAUAUAUCUUUAUUAGUUCUGGAUUUCUCAACACACAAAUAAAUCGGCAAGUAAACGUAAAAAUCAUAUAAAAAAGAAAUACAAAACUACAGUUGGAUUUUCCCAAACCAAUUUUUGAAAGACGCAGAAUUGUCUGAAUAUAUUUGUUUAUUUGGUCAUAAUUUUCUUCGGUUAUUUUUGUUUUUCUCCUGAUGCAAAUCAAAUUUUUGGAUAAAUAUAAACUUUGCGUUUAUCAUCAGAAAUUAAUAAUUAACGCUUCAAAAUAAAUAUAUUGCCAAAUAAGCAAAUGAACUUAAGAGAGCUCUGCUUCUAAUAGCCUUCUAUUGGUACCAAUUUUAAUUAAAAUUUUACAUGAAAUAUUUCCUAAAUAUUUUUUAUGAAAAAAAAACGUAAAUUUUCACGAUAAACUUAUAUUACAACAAUUUGUAGGUGACAAAUCCUUCUGACCAUUAAAUUUUACUGGUUUGACGGUUUUUGAAGUAACGUUCCUAAUGUUCUAAAAUCUUAUCUUCCAAAAUAUACAUGUAUGUACUUCCAAUAACUUCAAUUUCAAUAAUCACUUGAACUCAAUUUCAUACUAAAUACAAGAGAUUAACUCAUAAAGUUACAAUUUGGCGUCACUUUUAUAUUUAGUUAAGUUUUUAUUUCAAUUUUUACUCUUGAUAAAUUUGGCAAAUACACGUGUAUGGUCGAGCUCGUACUAUAUACGAGCAUACAUUCGAACAUACUUAUACGGUACAGACCGUACACAUACGGUCCAAAUACUCAUACUGUCUGGAACAUGAAUUCAUGUAGCAUUGGUGAGAUCAAAUCUUUUAUAUUUGUAGUCAUCAUGGGUAAUACAAAACGCAGAACCGCAUCCGCGUAUAAUCUAUGCUAUUCAUCUUUCACAAAUACAUUUGAAAACAAAACAAACAUGCAAACCGAUGAAUGAUGGAAAUCUGCUGAGCACCACAAAAUGCAUGAAUGUGUGGAAUUCUUUAUCAUAAAAAACAUAAUGGUUUAAAGUCUAAUUUUGAGAUUUACGGACCGUUUUGGCUGCUGUGGAGCCUCACAGACACUGAAUUGACAUCUUUCUUAUGUCUUAUAGAUAUUUGCAAAUGAAAUUUAAAUGUCAAAUAUAGGCUCCAAAUUAUGUCUCCAGCAUAUAAAUGUUCCGGACUAUACGAGUAUUUGGACCAUACGCGUAUGGUCAUGACCAUAUGGGUAUAUACUCAUAUGGUCAGGUUGAUUAAUAAGUUUACAGUUAAUACUAAAACUCUUUAUAGGGUAUGACCCAUCUAGUUGAGUAUAUACGCAUAUGGUCAUGACCAACGCUUAUGGUCCAAAUACUCAUAUGGUCCGAAAGAUACACAAAGAGAACGCUAUAUAGGAGUUUUUGUAGAUGGACUAAUGUUUACUAAAGAAUAAAAAGCACUAUAGCUAGAUAGCUUUUCGGAAAUGUUGUCUGUUUGAUUGAUAGAAGAUUGCAAUACAAAGAUCAAACUCAAAAGCAGAUACUAUAAUCUUUUCAUUUAUCAAAAAUAUGAUUUAAGCUGAUAAGAGAUACUUUCCAAAAACAAAAGUCCAUACUUUUUAUAAGAUCUAUACUAUCGGGAGUAAAAAAACAGCGAAUUGAUCUUUCGACUAUAAACAAAAAAUUGUUUGGACUUUAACGGUGCAUUUUUGUGGACUUGAGCGGAACUUGUUAUUGUGGACUUUAACGGUGUUUUUUUGUGGACUUUAGCGGAGGUCAUUUUGUGGACUUUAGCGGCGUUGUGGACUUUAGCGGAAAUUUGUUGUGGACUUUAGCGGUGUUGUGGACUUUAGAGGAAUUGUGGACUUUAACGGUGCCACACCCAUCUAUGAGUAAAAUACUGAAAAAUGAAAGAAAAAUAUUUGUUAAGAUUUGCUUCAGACAUAACAUUUGUGCCCAUUUUGCCAAUUUUUUUACGUUUGCUUGCAGCUUUUGAUUGCAAUAGAUUUACGCACAUUCACUUUCCAGGUAAACUCGGGUAAAAACAGUUAGAUAAUAUUCAUUUAUUUAACUAUUAUUUGGUGUUUUUUUUUAACUUUUUACAAAUAUCCCAUCCGUUAGUCUAUGACCCCGUUCAAACUGGCAUUUUUUUUUAUCGAUCUAAUUUGAAUCGAUCUAAAUAAAACCAGUUAGCGUCCACAUUAUCUUUAAUCAUAAUGAUCUCUAUCGGUCUAAUCUGAACCACUGCGUUCACACUACAAUUAAAAAACGCAAUCGAUCUAUCCUUUUUACCCGUAAAACUGUAAACAUUGUGUAUAAAUAGAACUGAUUUGUCAAAUUCAUGUGUUAAUACACUGAUACACACACUUGAAAAAAAAAUUGGAUAAAGUUAUUGUUUCUCUUGAAUCACAAGUUAAAAAUUUGAUACUGGUGUUAUUGCAGUUUUCUUUAAUUCUGAAAACAAAAUAUUGGGAGCAACGAAGUUACAAAACGACGCCGGAAAUUCUGCGGUUCCUGCAAAGAAAAUAAAUCAACAUAAGAAAAGAAGACACAGAUUUCGCAAAUCUAUGCUACGGCGAGUACAACAUGUUUUCAGUUUGUUUUAAUGGUCUUUUAACAGAGAAAUAUGGGUUUAACAACGAACCUCUGAGAUAGUUUUGCCGCUUUACAUGCGCAUACGUUAUUUUCGAUUUAAUUGUACUAGUUUAAACCGAUCUCUGCGUUCACAUUUAAAGUAAGAUCGGUUUACUUUAGAUCGAUUCAAACUAAACUACCUCUUUUGGUGUUUUAGUUAAGACCGAUUGAAGAUCGAUUCAAAGCGUUCACAUUAGCCCUUUAACCGAUCUAAAGUGAACCGGUCUAGUUUAAAUCGAUAAAAAUGUCCUAGUGUGAACGGGGUCUAAGUCCCUUGCUCCUCAACGAGGAGAAAGAAGAGGGGUUUCGAUCAGGAAAGGUUGGUUUUAUUAUGCACAAGCACCAAGUCCUUGAAAAUAAACUAAUCAUAGAUUAGAUUUAGUAUAUACGCCAGACGCGCGUUUCGUCUCCAAAACCCUCAUCAGUGACGCUCGAAUCCAAAAAAGUUAAAAAGGCCAAAUUUAUACAGAUACAAUUGUAAAACCAUAGCAAAUCCGAAGAGUAAAAGUGCCUAUUAUCCCUGUACGUACGUGCUGAAUAUUUGCAGACAACUUGCUUAAGAAAAUAAAUGCAUUCACAUUCUCAGAGUCUAUUCAAGUCUUAUCGGAAUUGCUCCAUUAGCAUGAUUAGAUACUAAGGUGUUUUCUUUCUCGCAUCUACGUACAACUGCUGAUGUUUCCUUGUUUUAUAUUUGUGAUGGUUUCAAAAUUAUAAAAAAAUGUCAAGAAACACAAAAAUACAUGGAAAAUCACUUAAUAUAUAUAUAUAUAUAUAUUUGUUUAGAAUUAUGAAAAAUAUAUAAUUUAAAAUUAUAAAUAUGUUCUAAAUUAAUUUACAUAUUUAUCAUAAAGAUUCAGAUUCAAUAUUUUAUUAGAGUCUUUAUCUUUAUAUUUACCUGUGUUACCUGUAAAACAAAUGCGCGCAAAUGUAAUCAAAAUCUGCGCGUUUGUUGAAAACACUUAUUAAUUAUGAAUUAUUAAUUGUAAUUAAUCAAGAAUGAUUAAAUAUUUUGGAUUCUCAGUAAGAACUUCCAUCUGGAAAACAACUUAGAACUUAACCUUUGAAAACAAUUCUUUAAAUGAUGUUUUUGCGAUGUUCUAAAUUUCCACUAUACAUGUAAAUACAUUUGGGAACAUAACAAGAUUUGGCUUUAGAUUAAAAACAAUAAUUAUAUCAUUAUAUCAUGAAUAAUUCAUAUCCAAAAUUAUUAAAAUUUGAAAGGGAUAUUUUCCCUCUGUCCUAUGGACCACAGGGAAAAUAUCCUUUCCUCAAUUAAAUAAUUUUAAAUAUGAACUUUUCAUGAAGGCCAUAUAAUUGUAUAACAUUUUUUUUUAAUAAUGAAAUUCUUUCUGUUUAUGCUCUAAAAUGCCUAAGAACUAAACGAUGAUUGCAUAUUUACAUCAAAACAUUUUCAACAGAUUAAGACAUUCAUUCUUUUGAAUUAAUUUUAAUUACCACCAGAAAUAAAGCCAUAACGAAAGAACUGGAAAAGAAAUUAUUUAAUGUUUAUUCCAACAUAUCAAAUUGAACCGGUAUAUAAUUUAUAUACCAUCCUGUUAUCGUGGUUAUAUCAAAUUUUAACUGCUUUUUUACCUUUUGGAAAUUGUCGAUCACAUGCCUAUAUAUAUACUGGCUGAUAAACAAUACACAAUAAAUCCUCUAACUUAAACUCACCAAAGCUCAUCAAUCAUGACUUAUAACACUGUAAUAAUAUUUUUACUAUACUAUUUCUUUCAACACUGGUUUGUUCUCGGAGUGGACAUUGGAUUGAGAUCUACGGAACCCAAUGGUGUGGGCCUUGAAAAUAAUGCAAGUGAAUAUACCAGUAGUACUGAACUAACACAUGUGGAAAAAAGUUCUUUGACUGACCAAACAAAGAUUUCAGACAAUCAGCAGUUUAUCUACUCGACAAGUAUUUCACCGUACAAAGCUUUAGUCUUAACAGAUACAUGCUCUCAGUAUGGGACUUGUGAGUUUACACAAACUACAAUGGAAGAACAGUAUUGUAAUUGUGAUAAACAAUGUCAUCAAUUCAAAGAUUGUUGCCACGACAUCAAAUACAAUGAGGAGUUAAACUCAGUAUACACGCCAUAUUAUCAAUGCUACAAAUCAUCCAAUAACAUAUACAAAGGGUUGUUUGCAGUGGCUGAAUGUCCACCCAUGGAAGAUAAUACAACUAUUCUACAUCUUUGUCAAAGUGAUGAUUUUCUGCGUGUGGGACCGUGCGUUGUUAGUGAUGACAUUAUAUUCAAAAAUAAGUACUGUGCAUUUUGUCAUAAUAUCACUUUGUAUAAAACAUUUGAUCUGACAUUAAAACUUAGUGGAGUAGUCACAUCAAUUAUCUAUGAAAACAUGUCGAACUCAGACAGAAUGAAUCAUAUUUUUCACAUGAGCAAAGGCUAUCAACUUAUACCUCCAAAAGGUACAGUAGUUCGUCCAUGUAUGCUACAACUAGCUGGAAAUAAUGAUACACUAUGUCAAAAAUUCAUCAAUCCAGUGUAUCUAUUUGAGAAGAGAAUGGCAUAUUUUUACAGAAACUAUUUCUGUGGUCCUGGCUCUAAUCGUCACUUAUUAAAAUGCACGGGUAGACUAUAUGAUAGAUUAGGUCGAGAUACAAUUUACCCAAUAACUAUCCUAUUUUCUUUCACAGAAAAGAAAACAAAGAAAGAAGAUUGCACCAAGAUGCCUUACCAGGUAAACAACAAUUACUUUUUUUUUUAUGGGUACAAAUUUUUAUGGCUUGAGGAAAAAUUCUCGGUUUUGCAAAAGUCUGCAUACAUGCCUGUAGCAAAGGAGUAUUUUGGCCUCAAAUUUCAGGUUCAUCUUACGAAAGAUUUUGACCACUUUUUAAACACUUAAGUGUCUAUUUCAUUUGAAUCAAUUAAUUUAUGUGAAAGAUUUUAACUGAUUUAGUUAUUAAAAACAACCCGAUUCAAGCUCAAAUAUGAAAAAUAUACCAAAGAUGCCAAAAAAUGUCACUUUUCAGAUGAUUUUUGUCAAAAAUGAAAGUGGCCGCAUCCGUGUUCAUCCUCAACCUUUAUAUAUGUUAUGUAUUAUCAUAAAAUACAACUUACAUUUCAAUAUUAAGGAUGAACACGAAUGCGGCCACUUUCGUUUCACACGAAAACUGUCUAACAUUUAACUAAAAUGCUAAAAUUGUGAAGAUUUCAGUAAUUUAGCAUGACUUAAUGGUGCUAGUACCCGAUAUAUGUGCAUUGUAUUGUCAAAAACAGCCCAUAUUUAUGUAGCAGAAGCAUUCUACUGUCCAAUAAAUAACUAAAAGUUUACAUUUUAACAAUUUUGUAAAACUGCUAUAUUUUGGGGCCAAAAAGGGGUCUUACUGGACCUACUUUGUUCUUCGCUGAAUAUUUAAAUUCAUGGUUCACCUUUACCAGGCAUAGGGUAAUCGUAGAAAGCUGUAAUCGAUUACAUUUAGCAGUGUAAUCACAUGUAAUCAGUAAACAUGCAUUUUCUGAUUACAAGUCAAGUAAUCGUAAUGUAAUCGAUCACAAAGCAAAAAAACGAGUGUAAUCAUGAAAACUUUGAAAUUACUUUUAGAUUACAAUUUAAAUGAUUACUUGCUGAUUACAAAUUUUAUAUCUAAAAACUAUUUUUUUUUAUGUACAAACAUAAAUGAAAAAUCCUCAUACUAAUGUUCAGUAUGAUUGAUCAUGGUUCAAUAUGAUUGAUCCUACUAACUAUUUGAUAAUUUCAGUUUCAGUAUACUCAUGCUGAACGGAAUGUAGGGUGUAAAUGAAUGGAUUUUUUUAAACAGUGAGUCCUUGUGCAUGUUGUGAUAUAAUAUGGUGUUGCUCCCUUGGAUUUCAAAGAAAAUUCAGACUGUUUAAGUAAUGUGCAAAUUUGACUCUUUAUAUUUACUUUGAUGUUUGAAAUUUAAAACAAUUGGUUUUAUUUCACAUUUUAUAACAAAAGUUUCAAAAUGUUUUAUCAUGUGUUUUCUUAAGGGUGUAUUCCUCUGAUUUUUCAGUCUCGUUCAGUCUCGUUGAAAUCUCGUUCUUGAAUUAUUUCCAAAACAUGUGAUACAAGUGGAAAAUAUCAAUGAAUUUUAAAAAUAUUAUAAUCAAACAUAACUCUGUGAAAAAAUUGUGUAUUUACAAUGAAUGGUUUUUGACUAAUCCAGUUUUCAAAUUUUACGACCAAUCAAGUCAGUAUUUUUAGCCAAAAUUUUGAGAAAAUGGGUGAGGGAUACAAAAAAUGAUUUUACAAGAUUCAUGUACAUCCCAUAUCAUAUCGGUCUUUUCAAAUUUCUUAGAUAUGUAUUUUUUCAAUCAUUUGUAACAAAAAAGUUGAAAUAAUAUGCAUUUGUUCUUAAAACUGAGAAAAAUCACCAAAAUACAAAAUUGACAGCAUGUUAAGUUUUACACAAAAAAGCGUCAAAAUAUGAUAAAACUUUCUUAUAUUAACACCUACCUAUAGUUUUUUUUAAGUAAAAUUCAUUUAGAUUGGUCCACGUCAUCUUUAUAGAAAGUUUUAAAAAAAGUUUAAUUGUGGAACUGUGAUAUUUUUCACGAUAAUAGCCCAAAAAUAGGUAGAAAUCGAUGAAAAAUGGGAAAAUCAUCAAAAUUGGGCAUUUUCAAAGGGCCGUAGCAAAAAAAAAGAAGUGCACCACCAUAUGAUUUUUUCUUCACCAAUUAUUUUGUUACAGUCUUAUAAACCCAAAAAUCAGGUCAAGAAAAAAUGUUUAAUUCUAGAAAUUUUUGGCUCUCAGAGGUGUACAUCCUUAAUAUGUUAUGGUUGUUUAACAUCUCACCCCUUAUUUUAUUGAUUUUGUAUUUAAUUUACACUGUGUCAUAAAUCAAAUUUAUUCGUUCCUUGUCACUUGCUUGUGUUAAUAUGUGUCUUAAAUUGAGUUAAGCCAUUUCAAUUGAUAUUUCAUAGUGUGUCUUUCUAUGUUGCGAUGUUACACUAUUGUUUCAGGUAAGGGUGAAGGUUGAUACCUAUUAAAAUGUUUAAACCCGCUGCAUUUGGUUGCACCUGUCCUAAGUCAGGAACCUGAUGUCCAGUGAGGGGGAGGACAGGGGUAAGGGAGACAGGGAGAAAUGGGUAGGAGAAAGGAGAGGAAGCCUUGGAGAAAGGAGGAAAAGUUGGAGAAAGGAGAAAAAAUAAAAUAUCUCUCCUUUUAAAAAAUUUUCUAAUAUUUUAAGAAAAAAUAUCUCAAAAAGGAUGUUUUAUUGUAAUGGGAGAAAGGAGAACGGGGGUAGGAGAAAGGAGAAGAGGGGUGGGAGAAGGGAGAAGGGACCCCCCUGUCCUCCCCCUCUCCAGUGGUUGUCGUUUGUUGAUGUGGUUCAUAAGUGUUUCUCGAUUUUCGUUUAUUAUAUAGAUUAGACCGUUGGUUUUCCCGUUUGAAUGGUUUUACACUAGUCAUUAAUUGGGCCCUAUAUAGCUUGCUGUUCGGUUUGAGCCAAGGCUCCGUGUUGAAGACAGUACUUUGAUCUAUAAUGGUUAACUUUUACAAAAUGUGAAUUGGAUGGAGAGUUGUCGCAUUGGCACUCAUACCACAUCUUCGUAUAUCUAUUGAAUAGAAAUAUAAAUUUUACAAUCGUGUAUAUAAUAAAAAAUAAACAGCAUACAGUUUUAUUGAUUAUUCUCAUCAAAAUAAUUCAUUUUAAUUACCCAAACUCACCUACUGUUUGUUAUAUAAAAUUUGAGGUAAUAAUUUUACACCUGUAAAAGCACAUUAAAGUGUCAAUUAUGUCCACACAGACAAAAAGGCUGUUUGAUCAUUAAACAUGUUAAAUAAUCGCUAUUUGUUAAUUUCUUUUUCUUACUUCUUUUAGGCUAAAACAUUAAAAAAAACAAAUUUAUUCUUUUAACAAAUAAAACACAGUGACAUUUACAUUCAAAGUAAAUUUGUCAAAUAAAAUUAUAUCAUAAAAAAAUACAAAUAUUACACUACUCCUUUUCUAAGUUCUUUUAAAUAACAUAUUUAUAUUUAAAAUAUAAAAAAAACACAAUUAUUCACUCAAGCUAGCUUUUAAUGUGAGGAUCAAAUGUUAAAAAAAAGUUUUUUUCAAUACCACAAUAUACAAUGUAAUCAUACGUAAUCUAAAGUAAUCAUGAUUAAAGAAAAAUAAUCUAAUGUAAUCAAUUACAUUUGAAUUUAGGUGUAAUUGUUAUGUAAUCGAUUACAUCAAAUUAGCAAAGUAAUUGUAACGUAAUCCAAUCCCUGACCUUUACAAACAAAAUCCACGAAAAUUGGUAUCCCACAAAUAAUAAACAGCUGCGCCAUGAGCGCAUGAUACGCCAGUCACUUUUUCAAAGAGAUAAAAAUCGAUAACGUCUCAAUGUCAUAUCAGAAAUUUAUAAAAAAAGUAAAGGGAGGUUAAUUUAAUAUAUUUUAGAUAUAAACCAGUCACCAAAGUUUCAUGAAAACUGCUCAAAGCACUUCUGAGUUAUUGUCCGAAAACUGGAAAAUGAUCAUUUUUUUUAUGAAUAAAACCCCAUCGGAAACAUAAAAUCUAAAAUUUAUAGACAUCGAAAGGGAGCUCACGUCAUUCAAUAGAUAUAACCAAUUCACCAAAGUUUCUUGCAAAUUGGUGAAAGGGUUUUUGAGUUAAAUAUUGUCUGAAAACAGGAAAAUUCAUCAUUUUUUAAUGAAUAAAAUCCCAUAACUCGGAAACAUAAAAUCUAAAAUUUAUAAAAUCGUAAGGCAGCUCACGUCAAUAGACAUAAACAAUUUACCAAAGUUUCAUGCAAAUUAAUUUUAGCGUUAUUGGGUUAUUGUCCGACAUGUUGACGGUAUACCAAAAUACGUCUCGUAAACGGGCGUAUAAAAAUGAAUUCACAGUAUUAGGAAUCUAUAUUCUAGUAGUAUUGUCUUAAAAACAAUAUAUGUCAGGACCUUUCACCUGACAAUACAGUAUGGGUUUUGCUAAUUCGUGUAGGUCGUACGGGGACCUAUAGUUACUUGCAGCUAUCUCAUUUUGGUCUAUAGGUAGCUCUAAACCCUUGAACAAGUUUAUGUGGUUAUACUGAUGUUAACAUAUAUAGCAAUUCGGAAAACAAUUCAAACUUCAUUUUUCUUAAUACUUUAUAACAAGAGAGCACACACAGAAAAUUAAUGUCUUCCCUGCUCUUCUGAUCCUGAUUAAAUUUUCGUUGAAAGUCUUCAAUGCAGGUUUUACAACUAGUAUCACUUAAUCUUCACAUUACCAAUACCCCAUGUAAACGAAGACAACAUAAGCAAGGUAAAAUAAACAAUCCCAAACAGACAUAAACAAUUAAAAUUCUUCAAUACACAAAAUAUAGUUGACCUAUUGCUUAUAGCGUAUCUAAGAAACUGUUACAGACCUUACCAUGGAAAGUGAAUGUUUACCAAUGAACCAUGAAAAUGCGGUAAAAGUCAGACGAACCUUUUCAGACAGAUUUAUAUGUAUACAUUACAAUCAUUACAUAAUUCAAAUAUAGUGGACCUUUUGCUUAUAGUAUCUGAGAAACAGACCAUUUAACAAUGGUGCUGAAACCAAAUCUAUUGAUUAUUUCAUUGAUGGCUGUUGUUUUAAAUGAAGGGACAGGUAUUGUAUGUCAUCCUCCCAUUUGCCUAUAUAUAUAUAUCACCCUCCUCAGUCCCUGGGUAAUUCUCUUAUCACUGCCUUGAGACAUGAGCAGAACUUAUUAAAAUAAACAAGCAUUUCUACCUGAACAAUGUUACAGUUAACGUAUACCUAUGCAUUUUUGGACAGUUCAGGUAAAAUCCCAUUUGAAAUGAACAAGUGAAAGAAAAUAAGUGAUAGGUUUGUAAAUACAUUAAAGGUACUCAAUAUUUUACUUUCAGAUAAAUGGGAGUAACCAAUGUGAUUUAGAAAUUUACACAAAUUUGAUCAGCUAUCCAGAACCUUUUUACCUUGUAUCCAGUGUGUCUCUGACAAGACUACAGAUUUUUGCAGUUGCUUCUGCCUAUUGCUUGACUUUGUCCAAGGUCAUUGACACAGAAGAAGUAUCCUUUAAGAAAAUUCUUCUCCCAAAUGGAGAAAAAAACAAAGCUGCCAAAAUAAACUUGAGGAUUGUUUUCACCAAACCAUCUUUCCUCCAUGAAAUAAAACAAAACGAACAUUACAUAAACAACUUAAUGUGGAAUAUGUUUUGGUCUGAUGAAAACAACACUAUUAAAGUUAGCAAAGAACAAAAUGUACCCCUUACACUGCAAAAUGAAUCGCUCUCUAGCAUAGAAGUUUCUAUAUUUUCUGAUGUGAUUAAAGAUCUUGACAGAAGUAGUGCAAAUAUUUCUAGAUCUGAGUAUCGUGGCUGUAAGAAGAUGACAAUUUUUGCUGAUCAGAAUGGAUUGUUCAAGAUACAAGUAACAAAUGUAGUCUGCCACGAAUAUUAUAUAAACCAAGAUUUCAUGGAUAGCCCAAAACUGUCCUACUCUAUAAAAGCAAUCCUGACAUAUUUAUGCUUUUCAGUGUCUGUUGUGGCUUUAGUUUUCUCCAUAAUAAUGAACAGAAAGUUUAACCUAUCUUCAAGUAUUGCAGGUUCAAAUAUGGAAAACAUAUCCAUUUCACUCAUUGCUUCAAAUAUUUUGUUCAUGAUUGGUAGUUAUGCCUCUAAAAUAGCAUUCCUAUGUUACACAAUUGGAGUGUUUCUUCAUUAUUUAUGGCUGACUGUGUUUUCUUUCAUGUUGAUAUCAGUUCUUUAUAUAGCUAAGAAUCUGACCUCAAUGAAGUCUGGUAACAAAACAAUAAAACGAACAGGAAAUUUCACUAAGCAUGUUUUUACCAUAACUGGCAUGUUGAUUCCAGUUUUAUUUGUUGGUCCAGCUGUCAUCCUAGAUCAAUUUGACGUUGCUAAUUUAUCUGCAGGAUAUGGAAAUUCAGUUUGCUUUCCAAGCAGGUAUCCAGCAAAUCUUAUUUUCUUUAGUGGACCAGUUGUCUUUUCUACAGUGAUCAAUUUUGUUGUUCUGUUACGAGUUAUAGUACAGAUUUGCCGUCUACGCGUGGAAAUGAGACAUCUUGUCAAAUCUUCAUCCUUCCAAGAUGCAAAACUGUUUUUUCGCCUUCUCCUAUUAUCUGGUAUCUUUUGGGUUACAGGUUUUUUAUCAGGUAUUUUGCAAUCAGAAUGGCUGGAAUACAUAUUCAUAUUAUCGUGUGGUCUACAAGGUUUAAUUGUUUGUGUUGCUAACAUGACAACAAAACAUAUGUAUGGUAAUGUAAAAGGCACAUUCAGCAAAAAAUCUUUCAGUACUAAGGCAACCUCUGUGACCUAAUUCAUUUUCUCCUAAAAUUAUCAGUAUAUAUUCAUACAUUUAUUUACUGGUUAAUAUCACAUUUGAUCUCACUUUAAUGAUAUUCUGAUUGUGUCAUCAACAUUUGGCUAUAUAAUACAUGUUAGGAAAGUAUUCCAAAAGGUAUCUGUAUUGAUAUAUUUGUGUUUUCUGUAUUGCACUAGGUAUCUGCAUUGUUGAAUUGGUGUUUACUGUAUUGCACUAUGUAUCUGCAUUGUUGAUUUGGUGUUUGCUGUAUUUCAAUAGGAGUCUGCAUUGUUAAAUUGUUGUUUACAGUAUUCCAAUAGGUAUCUGCAUUGUUGAUUUGGUGUGUGUGGUAUUCAACUAGGUAUCUGCAUUGUUGAUUUGGUGUUUGCUGUAUUUCAAUAGGUGUCUGCAUUGUUGAAUUGGUGUUUGCUGUAUUUUAAUAGGUGUCUGAAAUGUUGAAUUGGUGUUUACUGUAUUGCACUAAGUAUCUGCAUUGUUGAUUUGGUGUUUGCUGUAUUUUAAUAGGUCUCUGCAUUGUUAAAUUGUUGUUUACAGUAUUCCAAUAGGUAUCUGCAUUGUUGAUAUUGUGUUUGUUGUUUUUGUAUAGGUGUCUGCAUUGUUAACUUGUUGUUUACAAUAUUUCAAUAGGUGUCUGCAUUGUUAAAUUGUUGUUUGCAGUAUUCCAAUAGAUAUCUGCAUUGUUAUAUUAAAGUUUGUUGUAUUCCACUAAGUUUCUGCAUUGUUGAUUUGGUGUUUGCUGUAUUUCAAUAGGUAUCUGCAUUAUUGAUUUUGUGUUUACAUUAUUUCAAUAGGUAUCUGCAUUGUUAAAUUGGUGCUUACAGUAUUCCAAUAUGUAUCUGGAUAGUUAAAUAGGUGUUUGUCGUAUUCCAAUAGGUAUCUGCAUUGUUAAAUUGGUGUUUGCUGUAUUUCAAUAGGUGUCUGCAUUGAUGAAAUGAUGUUUGCUGUAUUCCUAUAGGUAUGGUAUCUAUAUUGUAUUAACUGUUGUCUUCUUAAUGUCAAUUAAUGUCUACAUAACUGAAUAUUUGCUUGAUAUAUUUUGUAUAUUCAUUAAAGUAUUAACAAAGCAUUGUAUGAAUGUCACCAUGUUUAAAUGUUAUGGAUUUUUUUGUAAAUUAUUAAAGUAAAGUUUGUCGUAAUCAUAUUUUAUUUUUAUAUUACCAGUAAUCUAUCCAUACAAUACCAUGUUGAUCAAUGACGUAGAAAUAUAAACAACUGCAAUUAUUCAUAUUAGAAAAUUCUGUAAAUACACAUAGAUAAUAGUUUUUAAUCCUUGCGGAUUUUUUUAACUCAAUAGUUUAUAAAGAGUUCUCUCUAAUGACGAGGGAAAUUCCAAAAUUCCAAAACAAAUAGAAGUAUUCUGGAAUCAUUUGUUUGUUUUUAAUGAAACAAAACGACUAAAUCUUUUUCUAAGCGAGUUAAAAUUAUAUAAAAAUACAUUUAUGUACUAGUGUUCAGCUUUAAGGGUUAUAAGUUAUAAGUUAUUAACAUAUUGGAAACAAAGGGAUAUGGUUUAUUAAUGCAUGACUUAAAAUACCUACACGCUUGACAAAACCCAAAGAAAUGGAACACUUUUAUAGCUGUUCGUCAUCUCGAAGUCACAGAGCAGCAUACUACAAGGAUCAAAAGCUAAAACUUCACUGCAAGUUCAUAAUGGUCCCUAGCACUGGUUUGAUAUGACUAUUUGCUAGAAGUCAAUAUCAUAACAUGUGUCCAUUGAACAAUAAUAAGUUAUUCAACACAAAAGGAUGCUAUGUAAAUAUAAAUGUCAAUGAUAUAACUAGUUAAGAACACAAGAACAAUUAUUGCAGCCAGCUGUAAUUAUCCUGCAAGAAAUAUUUUAUUCUACCAGUUAUCAUAAAUGACCUAGUUGUCUCUGCGAAUUGAUAUGGGUCAAACAAUUAUAACAUGAAAAACAAGAAUGCAUGUGUCACAUGUCGUGCUUAGGCCACCCCUACUUGCAAGUGAAAGUAUUUGAAAACAGAAAGUAUGUGUCCAACAGAAUAAAAAAAGGCACUCACACAUUACAGCUCAUCACUGUUAGGCUGCUGACCAAAUUCUCAAUCAUUCUAUUCACUAGUACUUGAGAAAAGUUUGAGGGAAAUGUUUAGUUCAUUCAACAUACUCAAAAUUUAAAAGUACCAGCAAAUAGGAAGUUGCUGACUGACAAAUCCCAAAAGUGCUCACACUUCACAGCUCAACACUUUCAAGCUGCUGUCCAUAUACAGUCUUUCUGUUCAAUUGAACUAGAAAAAAUUGUGACGAAAACUUUUAGCUGAUUAAACAUAUUAAAUAAAUGGGGAAUGUAUUAUUGGGACACAGAUGAUGAUCCCGCUUGUAUAUCAUAAAAAGUUAUAAAGGGACAUAAUUGAAUAACGGUAUAAAUGACGCUACCCAAAUGUGUACUUGAUCUGAGUUUUGUGGUAAUAAAAAUUGUGUAUAAGUUUAAUAUCAUUUGCUUGAGGCAAACUUAAGUUAGAGAACGGAAACAAAAACAAUCAACCAUUUUUCCAUUUUUAAAGGGCAUAACUCUAGAACGGUAAAAUUGACGCUACACAAAUUUGUACUUGAUCGGAGUUUUGUGGUGAUAAGCAUUUUGUAUAAGUUUCAUAACAUUUGGUUGAGGCAAACUUAAGUUAGAAAACUGAAACAAAAGUUCAGCAAUUUUUCAAUUUAUAAAGGGGCAUAACUCUAGAACAGUAAAAGUGACACAAGUGACACAACCAUAAUUCAAACUUGAUCUGUACUUUCUGAAAAGAAGCAUUCUGUAUAAGUUUUAUAACAUUUGGGUGAGGCAAAAUAAAGUUAGAGAACGGACAUGAAAAAUUCAGCAAUUUUUCCAUUUAUAAAGAGGCAUAACUCUAGAACGAUAAAAGAUACGCCACCAAAAUUCAAACGUAAUCUGUCUUUUGUGGUAAUAAGCAUUGUGUAUAAGUUUCAUAACAUUUGGUUGAGGCAAACUCAAGUUAGAAAACGGGAACCAACUUUGGGCCGUACGGACGGAUGGAGAGCCGUACGGAAGGACGUACGGAGGGACGGACGAACGGACCCACAGACCAGAAAACAUAAUUCCCCUCUACUAUCGUCGGUGGGGCAUAAAAAUAUAAUUCAAAGUAUAGAUUAUUUUUUUUUUCUUUUGAAUUUAUCAUAAUGGCUUCAUUUUUCCGUUCGGGAAAUCAUACACAUUAUUUUUCGUUGUUUUCUGUAACCAACACCGAAAUUACUAACGUAAAACGUAGGUUAAUAGUUUUGUGACAGGACACCUUUGGGGAUUCAUAUACUAAGGCACGUAUGCGUUGUACAAUUUAGUUAUAUGCAAAGAAUAAUAAGAAGAAAAAACAGUAAGAAGUUAAAAUAACCAACGAAUUUACGUACUUUUUAGAAAUGAUGUCCAAAUUGGGCAUCAUCAUCAUAAUAAUUAAUGGAACAAAAUCAUAUAAAUUUACUGUACUUUUUUCAAUUAUCAAACUGAUAAACAAAUAACUACAGAGAAGAAAGGGCCAUGCUUUGUAUAGUACUAACGGGAUAUAAAAAAAAACCUAAUUGACGUUUUUAAAAAAUAAAAAAAAUGUGUGGACUUUAGCGGUGCUUUUUUGGUGGACUUUAGCAGAACUUGUUAUUGUGGACUUUAACGGCGUUUUCUUGUGGACUUUAGCGGAGGUCAUUUUGUGGACUUUAGCGGAAAGUUUGUGGACUUUAGCCGCGUUCUGGGCUUUAGCGGAAAAUUGUUGUGGACUUUAGAGGAAUUGUGGACUUUAACGGUGCCACAGAUGGGCUUUGUUUUUUGGCACUUAAAAUUUACAGACAGUCUUGGAUUACAUUUUUUUUACCAAAAUAAAUUUGUAAACCUUCAUGGGUUGUUAAUGAAACUUGGACAGAAGCUAAUGUUCAACACCAAGAAAUAGCAUCUAAAGUUAUUUUUUUUUCCAUUCUGUAUUUUACUGAUAAAUGGACUCACUUUUUACAGUCAACUUUACACUUUAAAACUAGCAGCAAUUGAAGGGGAUACACUGAGUUCUGUGGAACCCUUUACAUUAAGUUUCACCUUUGUCCGUCUGUACGUACGUACGUCCCAAAAUUGGUUUCCGUUCUCUGACUUUAGUUUGCCUCCACCAAAUGUUUUGAAACUUAUUAUCACAAAACACAGAUCAAGUUUGAAAAUGGUGGAGUCACUUAUACCAUUCUAGAGUUAUGCCCCUUUACAAAUGGAAAAAAUGAUGAAUUUUUCGUUUCCGUUCUCUAACUUUAGUUCGCUUCAACCAAAUGUGCUGAAACUUAUACACAAUACUUAUUACCACAAAACACAGAUCAGGUUUGAAUUGUGGUGGCGUCACUUUUAUCGUUCUAGAGUAAUGCCUCUUACAAAUGGAAAAAUUGCUAAAUUUAUGGUUUCCAUUCUCUUACUUAAGUUUGCCUCAACCAAAUGUUAUGAAACUUAUGCACAAUGCUUAUUACCACAAAAAACAGAUCAAGUUUGAUUUUUUUGUGGCGUCAUUUUUACCGUUCUAGAGUUAUGACCCUUUACAAAUGGAAAAAUUGCUAAAUUUUUCGUAUCCGUUAAGAAAUUUAUAAACAAUGCUUAUUACCACAUCAGAUCAAGUAUAAAUUUGGGUAGCGUCACUUUUACAGUUCUUGAGUUAUGUCCCUUUAUAACAAGCCGGGGCUUCAUCUGUGUCCCAUGGACACGUUCCACAUUUAUUUUUCAUAUUUGGAAGAAAGCAGAAGAAAUUGUAAAUUAUGCUUAAAAAAUGGAUUUUGAAAAUAUGAUAAGGGGGGAAGGGGUUGCAAAAUUUGAAUUGCAUUGCCUAGGUAAGGGUCAUAGGAUUUACAAAUAUUGAACUAGCAAAAAUACCGAACUCCAAGGAAAAUUCAAAACGGAAAUUCCGUAAUCAAAUGGCAAAAUCACUCUUUCAAACACAUCAAACAAAUGGAUAACAACUGUCAUAUUCCUGACUUGGUACAGGCAUUUUCUUUUGCAGAAAAUGGUGAAUUGAACCUGGUUUUAUAGCUAGCUAAACCUCUCACUUGUAUGACAGUCGCAUUUAAUUCCAUUAUAUUGACAACGAUGUAUGAACAAAACAAACAGACAUAAUAGGUAAAAAUGUCAAAAAUAGGGGUACAAACACAUAUGAAACAAAGAAACACAAAAGGCAUAUAGACAAAGCACAUUAGCAAAAAUGAACGACAAGAAUACACAAAUUUACCAUAGCACAAUAACAUGAUAACGGGAUGUAUAAGUAUAGAGCCACGUCAAAUGUAACAAAGAAACACAAAAACGCAUAUAGACAAAGCACAUUAACAAAAAUGAAAGAAAAAAAAACACAAGAAUUUACCAUAGCACAAUAACACAAUGAUGGGAUGUAUAAGGACAGAGCCACGCCAUAUGUUACAAAGAAACACAAAAAGGCAUAUUAGCAAAAAUGAAAGACAAGAAUACAGAAUACAAAAAAUACACAAGCACAAUAACACUUUGACGGGAUGUACAGAACCACGUCAAAUGGAUAUCACCAAAAAUAGACUAAACUGUUCAAGUAAUAUUAAUAAAUAUAAAAAAGAAGAUGUGGUAUGAUUGCCAAUGAGACAAUUGUCCACAAGAGACCAAAAUGACACAGACAUUAACAACUAUAGGUCACCGUACGGCCUUCAACAAUGAGCAAAGCCCAUACCGCAUAGUCAGCUAUAAAAGGCCCCGAUAAGAUAAUGUAAAACAAUUCAAACGAGAAAACUAACGGCCUUAUUUAUAUAAAAAAAAUGAACGAAAAACAAAUAUGUAACACAUAAACAAACGAUAACCACUGAAUUACAGGCUCCUGACUUGGGGUUAAACAUGUAAGCGGGAUCCCAACCCUCCCCCUAACCUGGGACAGUGGUAUAUACAGGUACAUACAUAAGAACGAACUAUAAAAUCAGUUGAAAAAGGCUUAACUCAUCAGAUUGAACAAAAAUACAAGUGACGUGGCGGGCGGUACUUAUACAUCCCGACACAAAAAGACACAAUGAACAGAUCUGAGAGUACUCGCAGUUAUCUGACAGCUAGUUCAAAGCCACUAAGACUAUUAAAAGAAUACUAAAACACGUUAUUAAGAUGACAAACAAUGUCAGUACCCAGAAUCUAUACUUCAAGACCAUCGUGUAUUAUUUGUGAAGUUGAUACAGAAUAUUUAUCAACAAGGUCUUGGUAUCUUCCGAUAACUUUUUAAAAAGGACGAGACGUUCUUUGACAUACCCCUGGCUCAUCAACUUUCUACUCAGACACUGGUGACGUUUUACAAAGUCUGAGUAGCAGCUGCAAGCUCUUGAAUACGAAUAAGUUGAGAGAUAUAUAUCCCAUAUGCAGGUGAAGUUGGUAUAUUGCUAAUAAGGUGGGGGAAAUUUCAAAAUUAAAAAUCGUCUCGUUUGUCAUAGAUUCUGGUACUGAGAUGAGCGUAUAUGUCAAGUUCUUAUACUUUAUAGUCUGGUACUCUAAGUGUCUGUAGGAUUGUCAGUUUUUCUACCAAAAGGUUGGUGGUUCUCUCCGGUUUCCUCCACCAAUAAAAACUGAGUGCCACGAAAGUGGCGUCAAACAACUAUUAAUCAAUCAAUACAUCUUUGUGUCUGUACAAGUACACAAACUAUACUUAAGAUUUUACUUCCUCUUGUUGGGAUUUUAUUUAUUUAUGGUUAGUCUAAUAUAUAUAUAGCCUUAUACUUUAUUUAUCUACUAUAAAGCCUUGAAUGUAUUGUACCUUAAAUGCAUCUAACGUAUUUUUUUUUUCAACUUGCUAUUUAUUUAUGUACUAUCUUUAUUUUAAUUUGCCAUUGUAUUAUGUUAUUGUUAAUACCAUAUGUAAAUGCAUUUAUAUUUUGGUUUGGUUCUUCAGCUUCAUGUAUGAUUACUUUAGCUUGGAAAUUCUAGUAUUUAUAUUCAUUACCUGUUAAACUAUGUACUUAGACUGUAGCUGUAAGACUUUGUUCUUUAUGUACACGUAUUCGAACUAUAACUGGCAUUUAAUGCACACAUACUUAGUUGUUUUUAUGUUCAUCCUUAUGUUUUAUUUCACUUUACUUUACCUGUGCAUAAUUUGUGUGAACAUUAAUAGCAAUGACUUACCCUGUUUCAGUGUGUGCCUUACUUUUCUCUGUUUUUAAUAUACAUUACAUCUAACACGCGGAAUGCGCGUCUGCUAUAUAAAAUGUCAAUCCUGGUGUCUAUGAUGAGUUUAUUUACAACAACUGGGUCGAUGCGACUGCUGGUGGAGGUUUCCUCCUCGAGGGUAUUACGAGGCCAAUAGUCAGCAUAUCUGUUUUGACAUGAAUUAUCAUUUAAGUAUGAUCAAAGUUAUAAGUUAACUUUGAACUUAUCGAAAAACUAAGAAAUGUCUAUCACAUGAAUAGAUUAUCUUACCUGCAUUUGGCAGAACUGAAUUUAGGGCAUUGGCUCUACAACUUUUUAUUUGACCUUUUAUGCUGUUUCGAUUCGAGCGUCACUGAUGAGUCUUCGUUAGACGAAAUGUGCGUCUUGCGUACACAAUUUCGAUCCUAGUUAUCUAUGACGAGCUUAUUUAUUAGUAAAAUAUUUCAUUUAUUUAAAAACUCACACGGUACUUCAUCUGUUCAUAUAUUGAUACAUCAGACUGGUUCUUCAUGAUUUUAAAUUUUUGUUAUGUAUUUGAGAUAUUUUGAAAUGAUGAAAUGGGAAAGGAAUGAAAAAUCAUAAGAAAAAUGAAAAAUAAUCUACAAGAGAAAAGAAGAUAAAUUGUGUGGAUAUGAUGCCAAUCUAGUAUUUUCAAAAUAGGACAGAGAGGAGCACUGGCCAACAAUUUACAAGUUGGAAAAUGUCAGUUAAUCUCUAGAUAACUUCACUCAUCGCUUUUAUCAACUUCUUUUUCAAAUGCUAAUGUAACUCAGUCUCACCA
rnacentral:lncRNA from 1 species